rnacentral:rRNA from 1 species
AGCGCGGGGCAACCUGGCGGCGAGUGGCGAACGGGUGAGUAAUAUAUCGGAACGUACCCUGGAGUGGGGGAUAACGUAGCGAAAGUUACGCUAAUACCGCAUACGAUCUAAGGAUGAAAGUGGGGGAUCGCAAGACCUCAUGCUCCUGGAGCGGCCGAUAUCUGAUUAGCUAGUUGGCGGGGUAAAAGCCCACCAAGGCAACGAUCAGUAGCUGGUCUGAGAGGACGACCAGCCACACUGGAACUGAGACACGGUCCAGACUCCUACGGGAGGCAGCAGUGGGGAAUUUUGGACAAUGGGCGCAAGCCUGAUCCAGCAAUGCCGCGUGAGUGAAGAAGGCCUUCGGGUUGUAAAGCUCUUUUGUCAGGGAAGAAACGGUGGGGGCUAAUAUCUCCCGCUAAUGACGGUACCUGAAGAAUAAGCACCGGCUAACUACGUGCCAGCAGCCGCGGUAAUACGUAGGGUGCAAGCGUUAAUCGGAAUUACUGGGCGUAAAGCGUGCGCAGGCGGUUUUGUAAGUCUGUCGUGUAAUCCCCGGGCUCAACCUGGGAAUUGCGAUGGAGACUGCAAGGCUAGAGUUUGGCAGAGGGGGGUAGAAUUCCACGUGUAGCAGUGAAAUGCGUAGAUAUGUGGAGGAACACCGAUGGCGAAGGCAGCCCCCUGGGUCAAAACUGACGCUCAUGCACGAAAGCGUGGGGAGCAAACAGGAUUAGAUACCCUGGUAGUCCACGCCCUAAACGAUGUCUACUAGUUGUCGGGUCUUAAUUGACUUGGUAACGCAGCUAACGCGUGAAGUAGACCGCCUGGGGAGUACGGUCG